GAAUAUUUGCCCAUUUCGGAAAGCCACACCAUCACCACAUAAGGAGACUCAAUGCAGGAAGAGUGCCAGAAAAUCCAACUGAGAGUGGGAUGAGGAUGAAAAUCUUCACGGCCUACUGAGGUGCCCACGUCCAACCCUAACGUGGCGUCCGCUUAUGAAGCAUGGAGGUUGUAAUCAACUCUUGGUACGCAAUAAACUGGAAGUUUA
rnacentral:lncRNA from 1 species